rnacentral:rRNA from 1 species
CCUACGGGGUGCAGCCGUGGGGAAUAUUGCGCAAUGGGCGAAAGCCUGACGCAGCGACGCCGCGUGAGGGAUGAAGGUCUUCGGAUCGUAAACCUCUGUCAGCAGGGAAGAACGGUCACUGUGCUAAUCAGCAGUGAAUUGACGGUACCUGCAAAGGAAGCACCGGCUAAAUCCGUGCCAGCAGCCGCGGUAAUACGGAGGGUGCGAGCGUUAAUCGGAAUUACGGGGCGUAAAGCGCUCGUAGGCGGUAUGUCAAGUCAAUGGUGAAAUCCCCGAGCUCAACGUGGGAACUGCCUUUGAAACUGGCAAACUGGAGUGUGUGAGAGGAUAGUGGAAUUCCAGGUGUAGGAGUGAAAUCCGUAGAUAUCUGGAGGAACAUCAGUGGCGAAGGCGACUAUCUGGCACAUAACUGACGCUGAGGAGCGAAAGCGUGGGUAGCAAACAGGAUUAGAUACCCUAGUAGUC